GACGAACUCUGGCGGCGUGCCUAAUACAUGCAAGUCGAGCGAGCGGAACUAACAGAUUUACUUCGGUAAUGACGUUAGGAAAGCGAGCGGCGGAUGGGUGAGUAACACGUGGGGAACCUGCCCCAUAGUCUGGGAUACCACUUGGAAACAGGUGCUAAUACCGGAUAAGAAAGCAGAUCGCAUGAUCAGCUUUUAAAAGGCGGCGUAAGCUGUCGCUAUGGGAUGGCCCCGCGGUGCAUUAGCUAGUUGGUAAGGUAAAGGCUUACCAAGGCGAUGAUGCAUAGCCGAGUUGAGAGACUGAUCGGCCACAUUGGGACUGAGACACGGCCCAAACUCCUACGGGAGGCAGCAGUAGGGAAUCUUCCACAAUGGACGCAAGUCUGAUGGAGCAACGCCGCGUGAGUGAAGAAGGUUUUCGGAUCGUAAAGCUCUGUUGUUGGUGAAGAAGGAUAGAGGUAGUAACUGGCCUUUAUUUGACGGUAAUCAACCAGAAAGUCACGGCUAACUACGUG
rnacentral:rRNA from 1 species